GUGGGGAAUAUUCCGCAAUGGACGAAAGUCUGACGGAGCAACGCCGCGUGAGUGAUGAAGGUUUUCGGACUGUAAAGCUCUGUUGUUUGGGACGAAAGUGCCUGUUGCGAACAGUUACGGGUAUUGACGGUACUAAACGAGGAAGCCACGGCUAACUACGUGCCAGCAGCCGCGGUAAUACGUAGGUGGCAAGCGUUGUCCGGAAUUAUUGGGCGUAAAGAGCAUGUAGGCGGGAAUCUAAGUCUGUUGUUAAAAUGCGGGGCUCAACCCCGUAUUGCGAUGGAAACUGGGUUUCUUGAGUGCAGGAGAGGAAAGGGGAAUUCCCAGUGUAGCGGUGAAAUGCGUAGAUAUUGGGAGGAACACCAGUGGCGAAGGCGCCUUUCUGGACUGUGUCUGACGCUGAGGCGCGAAAGCGUGGGGAGCAAACAGGAUUAGAAACCCUUGUAGUCC
rnacentral:rRNA from 1 species